GAUGAACGCUAGCGGGAGGCCUAACACAUGCAAGCCGAGCGGUAUUGUUUCUUCGGAAAUGAGAGAGCGGCGUACGGGUGCGGAACACGUGUGCAACCUGCCUUUAUCUGGGGGAUAGCCUUUCGAAAGGAAGAUUAAUACUCCAUAAUAUAUUGAACGGCAUCGUUUAAUAUUGAAAGCUCCGGCGGAUAGAGAUGGGCACGCGCAAGAUUAGCUAGUUGGUGAGGUAACGGCUCACCAAGGCGAUGAUCUUUAGGGGGCCUGAGAGGGUGAUCCCCCACACUGGUACUGAGACACGGAUCAGACUCCUACGGGAGGCAGCAGUGAGGAAUAUUGGUCAAUGGGUGCAAGCCUGAACCAGCCAUCCCGCGUGAAGGACGACUGCCCUAUGGGUUGUAAACUUCUUUUGUAUAGGGAUAAACCUACCCUCGUGAGGGUAGCUGAAGGUACUAUACGAAUAAGCACCGGCUAACUCCGUGCCAGCAGCCGCGGUAAUACGGAGGGUGCAAGCGUUAUCCGGAUUUAUUGGGUUUAAAGGGUCCGUAGGCGGACUUAUAAGUCAGUGGUGAAAGCCUGUCGCUUAACGAUAGAACUGCCAUUGAUACUGUAAGUCUUGAGUAUAUUUGAGGUAGCUGGAAUAAGUAGUGUAGCGGUGAAAUGCAUAGAUAUUACUUAGAACACCAAUUGCGAAGGCAGGUUACCAAGAUAUAACUGACGCUGAGGGACGAAAGCGUGGGGAGCGAACAGGAUUAGAUACCCUGGUAGUCCACGCCGUAAACGAUGCUAACUCGUUUUUGGGCUUUAGGGUUCAGAGACCAAGCGAAAGUGAUAAGUUAGCCACCUGGGGAGUACGCUCGCAAGAGUGAGACUCAAAGGAAUUGACGGGGGCCCGCACAAGCGGUGGAUUAUGUGGUUUAAUUCGAUGAUACGCGAGGAACCUUACCAAGACUUAAAUGGGAAUUGACAGCUUUAGAAAUAGAGCUUUCUUCGGACAAUUUUCAAGGUGCUGCAUGGUUGUCGUCAGCUCGUGCCGUGAGGUGUUAGGUUAAGUCCUGCAACGAGCGCAACCCCUGUCACUAGUUGCCAUCAUUCAGUUGGGGACUCUAGUGAGACUGCCUACGCAAGUAGAGAGGAAGGUGGGGAUGACGUCAAAUCAUCACGGCCCUUACGUCUUGGGCCACACACGUAAUACAAUGGCCGGUACAGAGGGCAGCUACACAGCGAUGUGAUGCAAAUCUCGAAAGCCGGUCUCAGUUCGGAUUGGAGUCUGCAACUCGACUCUAUGAAGCUGGAAUCGCUAGUAAUCGCGCAUCAGCCAUGGCGCGGUGAAUACGUUCCCGGGCCU
rnacentral:rRNA from 1 species